rnacentral:snRNA from 1 species
CAAUGUGAGGGCGAUCUGGCUGCAACAUCUGUCACCCCACUGCUCUUCAGGAUUAAUCUGGCAGACCUGACCGGCUGUCCCGGUGUCCCCUUCCUCCCUCACCACUCCAUGUGCGUCCCUGCCCAAGCUGUGAAGCUUUGUGCUCAGUGGGAGAGCAUGACUACCCCGAUAAAGAAGGGCCAUUGCCUUGGUCAAGGAUCUGGAGUAGAGACACUCUCCCGCUAGACCUUAAACAAGUUCUCAAGGAAGAACAAGAGAGCAUCAGUGUGUAUAUAAGAGGCAAAGUAUAAUAGGAAUAACAAAUUGAUGAUAUGUAUAU